AUACGGAGGGGGCUAGCGUUGUUCGGAAUUACUGGGCGUAAAGCGCGUGUAGGCGGAUCGUUAAGUCAGGGGUGAAAGCCCGGGGCUCAACCCCGGAACUGCCCUUGAUACUGGCGAUCUAGAGUCCGGAAGAGGUGGGCGGAAUUCCCGGUGUAGAGGUGAAAUUCGUAGAUAUCGGGAGGAACACCAGUGGCGAAGGCGGCUCACUGGUCCGGCUCUGACGCUGAGACGCGAAAGCGUGGGGAGCAAACAGGAUUAGAAACCCCAGUAGUCC
rnacentral:rRNA from 1 species